CACUCCCACUGCCACUACCAUACCCACCGACGUGCAACCAUACCUCCUCUUUUUCUCCCUCUCUUUUCUUCUCUUCCCCACCGCAGAUUGACCUUCUCCCCAUUUCUUCUUCUUUUCCUCUCACACCUUUCUCAUCCUCCAGCGAAGAGCAGAGCAGGCAGCCUUGCUGCCUUUUUCUCCAGCCACCAGCCCUUGCGGAGCUCCUUGGAGUGUGCCGGAGCUCGCCAGACCACCAAAAAAGAGGCGAAAACAAAGCCUUAGUUGCUGCCCUCUUUUCUAGCCAAGCACAGCAGCCGCCGGAGCUAGCUGUGGCCUUCGCUGGAGCUCGCCGAGACAACCGGUGAAAAAGGGCAAAGCAGCCCUAGUUGCUGUCCUUUUCUUGGCAGCACUGCCGGAGUUCACUGGAGCUCGGCGGAGCUAGCUGAGACGACCAACAACGAAGGGGAAAAAUAUCCUAGUUGCUGCCCUCUUUUCCAGCAACCACAGUAAUCCAUAGAAGAUACAAGUUUGGGGGGAGCACGGUGACUUGCCGACACUCGAAGUUUUUGCUGUACAUAAAAUACACAAUUGAAGAAAACAAAUCAGAUGCUUCAGAAGACAAGAAGCAAAUUAUAAUUACUGAUGAAAAUCUCCAAACAGAAAGCACACGUACUUGAAACUGCUUUGUUGCCCAUGAAAAUUCCUGAAAAGAUCUCGUGUGCAAUAUCUUUGAUGAAGUUGGAAACUGGAUUGUCUCAACAUGUUGUACAAGCCUCAAACUACCUUCAAGAUACAUUAGACCACAUGCCAACCAGUUAAACAUCUUUACCUACAUAAUGUCAAUCUACACAUUAUCAAGUAAUAAACUUAAUUAUCAAAGUUAAGUGAUGCAAUAAUUAGACUUUCCAAUUAAAACUAGACCUAAGUUGGUAAAAUUUUAUUUUUAGUUAGCAUAACAAAUUAGGAAUUUCUUUAUUUAAUGAAAAGUUUGGUCAAGUUAUUGAAGGAAUCAAUUAACUAAUAAUAUGUUUUAUUGAGAAUUAAUCAUGGUUAGUGCUUUUAAAGAGGUGUCCAUCCCUUUUGUUAUUUCAUCUUUUAUCCUUAUAAAAUUUCAUUUUUCCUUUGUGAGUUUUGUUUGUCUCGGUGUUGAAUCAAAUGUUAUCAAAGUCAAAGUUAAUAUGACAAUUGAUACAUGUAAACGAGAAGCAAUUUUUCUGCUCAUCCUAAUUUAUUCCUUGAUAAUGAAACUGCCUAAAUGUGGUUCUCACAAACCAAUUUGUCUUCGCUUCAUGCCAGUGAUGAUCUGGCAGCCAUUAUGCAUUGCCUACUGACGAGUCCCUCUUAAACACCGGCUGCAAUCACGUGUUAUCGUCCAGCCCACUAACACCAUCCCCCCCUGUUGCUGUAUAACAGGCACAUUCUUAGCCUCCCACCCCACCCCACCC